GAUGCCGCCUCUCCUAAUUCAUAACUGCCACUAGGCUUCUCUUUUUUACAUAUACAGUAUAUAUUACUUGCUUGGCUAAUAGCAUCAUAUCUUACGUCCUGCUCGAACUCUGUAUUUAGUUCCAUUGUGUUGUUGCUAUUCUCUUGCUUGUGGCGUGUGGCCUAUAAUAUGCAAAUAUUCAUGACAAUGCUUUUGGACUGUGCAAUUCAGGAGUAGAAAUAGUUGUAAAUAAAUUAUGCUUUUGUGCAAUUCAUGAAAAUGAUUUGAGUACCGAGUUCUUCGAAAGGGUUGGAAUGUGUAAGGUUAAUUAUUGUUCGGAGGUCAUUAGGUUUAUCCAUUUCUACUCUUGGAUAUUUGCUCGGUGGGAAGACUUGCUAGACUAUUGCAGCAUUACAACCUGCUAGAUUGAAGUAUACGAAUGUUUGCUUAGCACCUCCAGUUUAAUGGCAUGUCAUUUCAGCCAUAAUUUUGUUGUAGGUUUGCAUAGAUAAAUUAGUAUCACUCUUGGUUUCAAAGUGUGUGUUUCAUGGGACUUAGCUUUGUUCAAGAGACGUAACUCCAAUUACAAUUUUCAGCCAAAAUUCUGUUGUAUGGAAACAUUCAGUGAUUCUUUCUUUUUUAUUUGAAGUAAGCCAUAAUUCUAAUGGCUGAACUGAGCCAUCAAUGUGCUCCUCUUCCUCUCCAGCCGCCGCUCCCAUCAUGACACUACGUGGCAUCCUUUGGUUGAGGUGCCCCCCCUCCCCAUGCCUCUUUCCUGUGCCUUCUGACAUCGUCGAGCCGAUUAGAGUCGAUGGUGACAAGGAUCACGCUCAUGGGAUUUCGCUUUGCACCUCAACCACUCCUGCUAAUGUGGAUCAGGGGAUGGAUUGAUGGAUAUCGCAAUUUUGGUUGCCUGCUUGGACUGAAGUCUCUGAAUGUUACAAAUUCAUUUGUCAUCAUGAUCCUGUUUUUUUCAUUGUUGCCUUUGGAUAGUCAAUAUGAUGUUAAUUUAGCUUUCGCCUAUGCAAGUUUGUCAGGCACAAUAAAGAUUUGAAUGUUUGAAUCAUAUCAGCAACAACUUGGAGGUGCUUAUUUUCUCCAUGGGGUCUUUCGGAAGCUUAAAAAUAACACAACAAAGGUUCGCUCUAAAUGUAAUAUUUUCAUGGUUUUUGUCUACUUGCUUGAAAAUUGGAAAGGGACAUUUUCUUGAUAAUUUAACCCAUCAACGGUCAAUUGCUUACAUGUUGUCGUUUCUCACGGUUUGAUUUAUAUGUACUGUGAACUGCAAAUACCUCGGCUCCUUGCAAUAUAGGAAUCAAUGGUUCCGAUAUUACACCAGAACUUUAGCUUUCUCGGGCAUGUGACGAUGGCUCCAUGGAAAAAAUCAUCAAAGUGAUUGUCGAUGACCUUCAGGUAUAUCAGUGUCAAAUGACAAAAGAAGGCCUCCAGAAAGUUUGUUCAUCAGGCACAAGCGAACGACAAAAUGCAGGAUCAAUGGAAUUCUCUUUCAACAGAACAUCUGCAUGAUCUUUUUACUCUUCAUGAACAAGUCAGUGCGAGAGAAAGUUGCAUGCUAUAUGAGUGUUAAACGCCAUCGAGCGAUCU